CCUUUCGCCUUGAUAACACUGAUAGAACCUUAGACUUGCGCAAUGCUUGUUGUUUUUUAAUUUCCCUCUUGUAUGCAAAUUCACCCCUUGGUGCAUGAUAGUGCUAUGUUAUUGUCCUUACUUUUCAGUUUUCACACACACACACAAAAAGGGAAAAUAUUAUAAAAACUCAAAUGCAAUGAUUUUACAAGAUUUAGCACAGGGAAAAACCCUUAAAAAUGGAAUGUUGAAAAGGAAAAUACAUACUUAAAGAAAUUUAAGUUGUUCAUCCUAUUGAAAUAUUAAUUAUUGAUCUUGCUUUGGACCAAUGCUAAAUCUUUCCAAAUUCACUGCAUAACUAAGUAAACAAAUAUAGCAUUACUUCAUAAACAAAUAUGACAUUACUUCUUUCUCCUCAUUUAUUGGUAUGCAAGAACAAAAAAGAAAAAGAGAGAUUGCCAAACCUUAUUGGAAGGAAAAACCAUAG
rnacentral:misc_RNA from 1 species